GAUCAUAUCUAUUAGGAAAAAUAACAAAUUGGAAUUGACAGAACUUCUGGAAGGGCAAAAAUCUAUUGGUGUUAAAUGGGUUUAUAAAACUAAGUUGAACAAUGAUUAAACUUGGUGAUGCACACUCUCUUUAUUAAAAGGAUAUAAGAAAAAUUUCAAAAAUACCCAUAUGAGCACAUUCUCUUUAUUAAACUUGGUGAUG
rnacentral:lncRNA from 1 species